UAAAAAAAAAAAAAAAAAAAAAAAAAAAAUUUUUUUUUUUUUUUUUUUUUUUUUUUUACUUUGUAUAAAAAACAUUAUAUAAAACUC
rnacentral:ribozyme from 12 species